CUGUGACGUAAGUGGUCCCUUGGCAACGGAUAUGGAAGGGCGGGAAAGUGACCAGUGUAUAGAAAUGCCCGAAGGGUAGCGAAGUUGCCGUUGUGAUCGAUCGUCUUAUACUAAACGAAAUGAAAAAUAAAAUAUUCUUUAUUGGCUAAAUGUGAUUGGACACACAAUAAAUUUGUCUCCGGUGCAUAAGCUCUCAGUAUACAUACAAGUAACAAAGUGGUAACUCAUAAAUCAUAAGGGCUUUUGGUGGAGACUUACCUUUGAAUCAGUUGUCCCAACCAGACAUCCCAAUCAGUCGUCUCAGCCUUAUAGAAACUGAGAAUUGAGAAGAUGAAAGAGUACAGGAAAAAUGAUUGUGUUAUUUUGAUACCCCAAAAUGAAUGAGAAUGGUAAUUAUUUGCUGAAUCCCUAAGAACAACAUCCACUUGUUUCUAAUUCAUGGUGUAUGCAUACAUCAUGGCAAACUAAUGAAUAUAAAAGAAGAAUAUAUAUGAUGAGACAAUAAGGAGAAACAACAUCAAGUGCAUUGCUAUUUCUAAUUGUAUGCUGGUAAGGCCAUGAAUUACUGUUUUAAGUUACACCUGGCAUGCUAGCAAAAGAAAACAGAAAAAAAGAAGAUAAAAAAAUAAUCACAGUCCUAUCUGAUUAAAGAUAAAAUUCUCAAGAGAAUAAUUUACAGAUGCAUUACAGUAUGCUCUGGUGCUUUUCUAUGAAAAACACUUUCAUUAUUGUUUAUUGUACCAUGUUACCCAAUAUUAAAUGCAGUGGGGAAUACA